UGUAAAGGGAUGGGACUCGAACCCACGACCUUCCGCUUACCGGGCAGAUGCCAUGACCACUAGGCUAUCCUGGAC
rnacentral:tRNA from 1 species